rnacentral:lncRNA from 10 species
AGUCACACCUCUUUGCAGACUUUAUGGCAGGCCUUCCCUUUUUUCCAAACCCCUGUGAAUAGUGUCAGACAGCAUCUGCGGGAGGAUGUGUGUGAAUGCUGGGAUGCAGGGGGCAUGGCAGGGAGUGGAGCACUUGUAAUUCUGUUGAUGUUGGAGCCCUCCCCUUUCAGAGUGCAUUGAGUCCUUAGUGUGUGCCCCCUCGCCCCGAUCAAUUCCCAAUCCCUGUGUUGCAGAGAGGGCAGCACCACCUUCUCAGCCGCACAGGAUAUUCUCAGGCUGAUGCCAAGAGCAAAUCACUCCCAGCCAGCACACUUCUGCCAGCCUUGGUAGGCACAGCGUGUAGCAGUGCGCAUGUGGGUGGGGACAGAGGUGACUUUUCUCAUAGACUGGGAGAAAAAAAAAGGCAUCUGAACUUCCUGGUUACAGAACAUCCGGCUAGUAGAAACCUUUGUGUGUUUGUACGUGUCGGGCAGGGGGGGAUUAGUGAGGUUCCCCUCCCCUCUAGUGUUAGCAAUAAUGAAGGACACUCUUUGUACAAGACGUCAAGAUGAGAGCUUCCACACAGGACUCCACACUGUGCUUCUGUUUCACCAGGAAGAAAUCUUGAAUGUCAGCCAGGCUUGUACUCAUCAAUUCAUUCAGCCAGUCUCUGAGGGCUGGUCCUUCUACUGAGUGCUGGCUAGGGUGGGGCUGAGGACUGUGCCCCUGGAGAGCUGCCAGCCUGAGGAGCAAAGCCAAGUGCGUGUGGCCCAAAGUAGACAGCAUAUAGGGCCUGCACGCUGAGGACUGCCCCAAAUGCUGGCCCAGCUUUUUCCACCAGGGAGGGUCAGAUUCCAAAGCCGACAGCCACUCAGCACGAGGCCCAGACCCAAAUUCCACUGCCAGCCACUUCUACUCCUGUGCUCUUCAGAUGAUUUAUGUCUACAGUAUCUGUAGAGUUGAAAUACUGUAUAAUAGUGUGCAAUUGUGUCUCUUCCCAACAUCACAUUGAAGUUAACUGCUUGAAAUCAGCCACAGUGGGAACACUUACAACUCAGAAAUCAGCAAAUGCUAUAAAUCAGGCUUGAUCUAUUCUUUUGUUGUCUAUCUAGAGGAAAGAAAGCAAUAGAAACAAUGUUAAUAAUGCAGAUAAAACUCAAAGGUGUGCCAUAUCUAUAGCUGUUAGAUUGUGAAUAAUACCAAAAAAUGAGAAAAUAGUCUUCCAGAGUUUGAAAACCACUAACCUAUUCAGCAAGGAAAUCAGCCAGGCACGGUGUCUCACACCUGUAAUCCCAGCACUUUGGGAGGCUGAGGCUGGCAGAUCACUUGAGGCCAGGAGUUCAAGACCAGUCUGGCCAACAUGGCCAAACCCUGUCUCUACUAAAAAUACAAAAAUUAGCCAGGCGUGGUGCUGUGCGCCUGUAAUCCCAGCUACUCAGGACGCUGAGGCACGAGAAUCACCUGAACCCGGGAGGCAGAGGUUGCAGUGAGCCAAGAUCACACUCCUGCACUCCAGCCUGGGCAAACAGAGUGAGACUCCAUUUAAAAAAAAAAAAAAAAAAAGAAAUCACUCACAUUGUGGACAAAUGAAUGCAGUUCUGACAUCAUUGUUUCUCACUUAAAUGAAAAUAUCAACCAACAUGCACGUCAGAACUACAUUUGUUCGGCCGGGCGUGGCGGCUCAUGCUUGUAAUCCCAGCAUUUUGGGAGGCCGAGGCGGGUGGAUUAUUUGAGGUCAGGAGUU